GCGGUGCCCGAGGCCCAGCGCGGCGCCGCUCCUCGCGGCGAGUGUCACAGAGCGCGGCGGGCCGGCCCAGCUCCGGCCGGCGGGGGGCGCGAGGCCUGCCCGACGACCCUCUUCUCGAAUGACAAGGGACGCGGGAAGAGAGUGAUCCCCGCGCCCUCGGCUGCCCGGUGCCCCGCCAGGGUGUUACUGCUGCUGCCUCUCGGCUGUUAACCGCAGUGCGGGUGGACCUAGUUGUUGCAGUGGCUGAUGUCAUGGGGAAAGCUGCUUUAAUUAUCUUGUACCCGAACAGCAGCGAUGAUAAUAAAUACGGAGGCGGCUGUGUCUGUGAUUAUUUCUAUCAGCAAAGUUCAGUUCAAAGAAUUAGUUAGCUUUAUGGACCAGGGGCUGGUAACACAUUAGAAAGGCCUCUGACUGCUGGUAAAUGAGAUGGGUAGUUAAAACAAUCUAAGAAAAAUGAUUUCUGUCCAAUGUGUUGAAUGCAGCAAUUUUUCAAUUUUGAACUCGCAGGCACAUAGUAGGUGCGGUAGAACAAUGAUGCCCCAUAGAUGCCCACCUCCUAUUCCCAAACCUGUGAAUAUGAUGCUUUACAUGACAAAAGGGACUUUGUGAUUAAGGAUCUUCAGAUGGGAAAAUCAACCUAGGUUAUCCCAGAAGCAGCAAGAGGUCAGAGUGAUGUAAGGGGCAGUGAGCCAAGAAUUGAAGGCACAUCUGGAAGCUGACAAAAGGAAGAAAGCGGAUUCUCCCCUUGAAGCCUCCAGAAGAAAUGCAGCCCAGCCCAUACCUUGAUUUUAGAUUUUGACCUCCAGAAAGGUAGAUGGAAGCAGAUAUGAACAAGAACAGGAACAAGAAAUGUGAACUUUAACAUGAUUGAGGGAUAAGUCCUUAGAUGCUACUGAUUUUGGUGACCAGUCGGAUGAUCCACCAAAAACUGAUUAGUAUAUUCUGUCAGAGUAAAUUGUGGCGGGUUGUUAACGUAAUGGAACCAAUGAAUUACACCUCCCAAUGUUUAAAUCCACGCGUAGGCCCCCUCUCCUAUUUAACUCCUGGUUGGGCCAUAUGAUUUGCUUUGGCCAAUGGGAUGUUAGCAAACGUAACACAAGCGAAAGCUUAAAAAGAACUUGUAGUAUAUAUCACAUCUCUGAGGUUGUCAUGUGAAGAAGCCCAAGCUACCUCUUGGAGGAUAAGAACACAGGGAGCAGAGACAAGCCAUCUCAAUGGAGGUUCCAUAGCUCAAGCAGCCCCAUGCACCAGGAGAUCACAGCGUUGUUAGUGACCCAGGAAAGAAGAACAGAACUGCCCAAUGACCCCAGCCCAAUUGCUGACCUACAAAAUCAUAAGCAAAUAAAAUGGUUUUUAUUUGGUGGUAGUUUGUUAUACAACAGCAGAUAAUUGACAUACUCUAUUUCCCUAAAUUUCAGGUCAAAACUUAAGUAAAUUGAAAUUAUCCUUUUUUUGUGUGAUCUACCCUCGUCAAUUCUUUAUCUUGAUACCAGCUAAUUUAGUUUACAAUACUUUCCUUUGUCAUUCUCUUUCUUUUUGAAGAUUAAUACAAAGACACUUCUGCCUGAAAAGUUUCCCAAUAUGAAUAUUUUUACUUACUAAUAAGGAGCCCCACUCAGCAUAAUUUAUAUAUCUGUGUUCUAAAAUUUUGUUCAGAGAUUCAUCUUCCUCUUCAAAAUG